UUCUCUGUAACGGAAUCUGCUCCCUCUGUCGUUUUGUCGGAUUAGCUGGGGUAAGGAAAACAUGAGGAUCGUGUUCCGAGCGUUUCCCAGUCGCUGGCUGCUCAGCAUAAACACCAGGAGUGCUUGGCCUCCCUCAUAUCCGCCUCCUCAGCUCCUCCACCUCUCUCCUUGGCCCCUGGGGUUCUAGCGCGGGUUUGUUUUAGUAGUGUAGCCCCAGAAGAGUGUUUGGUUGUGUUGUGUGUCACACUGGACGCUUCACACUGGAACGUAGCAGGAAUUCAUGAAGCUGCCGCUCUGAGGGUCUCAUAGUUGUGCGCACAUUAAUAAGAUGGCUACUUGGAUAUGCACAGAAAGAAAGGAGCUGGAUCACCUGCCUGUGUCUACAUUUACAUCAUACACUCGCACAAGGUUUUAGACUGAGUCACCGUCCAGGGCAGAGGUGUCAAACAUAAGGCCCUGGGGCCAGAAUUGGCCCAGAAAAGACUCCAAUCCGGACCACUGGACAGUUUUGGGAAAACAUGACGGCAGGAAUAAAGUUUUGAACUUUUUGAAGUUUUACAGCUGCUUUUCCUGCUGAUAAAGACCUCCCUCACAGGCAUUUAUACUACACCAAAGUAGUUAAAUAAUAUUUAAAAAAAUGACAUGACAAAAAAAAAUCAUGCUUUUAAUUGGCUAAUAUAGAAAUUUUGGUUAAAAGUUCAAGUUUUAGAAAUACGAAACAGUCCGGGCAGUGAGCUACCAGAACCUUUUCUGUAAUUGUACACUUUUAUCAUGUAGAAUAAUUGAAAUGUGAUGGUGUAAUUGUACCUCUUCAUUUUAUUUAUUAAGAUAUCUCAGGGAUUAAAUGUGUAGUUAAACAUCUUUACACUGACACUUGAUGUAAAAUAAGUUUGACACCCGGGCUUAAAUAUAACUGGACUUAAAAUAUGUACAAGUGUGGCCUUUUCAUCAGUUAGUUAAGCAGUUAAAAUGUCAGCAUGUGAUUAGAAGUGUAACAUUUGAAUUUGGAAACUCUCUCAACCCAACUUGUAGUAGAAGAAGCUCUUUUAGAAGAGAAGUCCUGGGGCUGCAAAAAGGAUGGAAAAAAAAAACACAACAACACAAAAAGGCCUGGAUGUUGACUGAAGAUAGGAGUGGUGGAUGAUCAUGGGAUCCUUUCCAUAGCAAAGACCUCUUCAGAUAUAUAACACAUAAAAUCAAGUGAAGAAUGCGCUCACUAUGUGGCAGGGUGUUUUAAAGGGAAAACAAGAAAAACCAGCCAUCAGCUGCAAGAACAGAAAAAAACAGAUUAGGCUUUGCAAAAACAUCUAAAACAGCAGACCGGCGCUGGAACUGCAUUCUUUGGAUAUCUUAAAGAGAAUGACACGUCCUCUGUAAAACAGACUGGAGCCAGUGUGAUGUAUGGACAUGCAUAGCUUCCAGUGGCGCUGGGUCACUCGUGUUUAUUAGUGAUUUGACAGAAGACAGAAAUGAUGAGCUGCGAUGUGUACGGAGCUUUACUUCCAGCUCGGAUUCCACCAAAUGAGGGAAAGUUGAUUGGACUGUGCUUCAAAGUGCAGAUAAACACUAACCCAAAAGAUACUCAGGAAGAAACCUGAGGGUUUUAGGCUUUAGGUAAAGAAGGAGGAACAUUCUGCAAUUGCCCAAUCAGAUUUAUCACAACAUAACUUAGCUGAAUUGCACUUGAAGACAGCAGAAGGAAAGACCUGGCAAAGCAUCACAAAGAAGAAAAGUUAUUGAGAUCCAUAGGUUUCAGACUUCGGGCAGCCAGUUUUCACUUGACUCUCUGCAAAUGGGACUGUAUUAAAAUAGAUUGUUUUGUUCAGCUCCUUAAAUUCAAGCAAUUGCACUCUAAGUCAUCAUCAUAUAACUGCAACCUGAAUAUAAUCUGUAAGUAAUUUAAAGAAACAAAAGAAAAGUUUGUCCUAAGUUGUCCACACACAGCUUUACUCGCGCUGGCUGUAACACAGUAAAAAGUAAUGCAUUAUAAUCACAUUUUUCUGUAACAUAGGCAGUUUAAAGCUCUGCCUGGCUGUUGUUUUGAGAUUGCCAGUCCCCCUGUGGUUCAGCUGAUGCCUUGACUCGAGAUUUUUCUACCUGUUUUUUCUGCUUUGGUUGACCUUUUACUGAACUGGGCUGGAUUGCUGUGAGUCUUUUUUCUUAAAUUAGGCCUCACUCUUUGUUUUUGCAGCCUGGCGUCGUGCACACUUUGCACCUUUAUUUUCGGGUCCUCCUUUGAACUUUUGAACUUCAAAAAAAUCCCACUACCAAGGAGUUGCUUGUUUCCCAGUUCAUUACGAUAAAUGUGGUGUUAUGUAUUAAUAUACGCAGCUGGAAUUAGUGCUCAACAAAUACACACAAAUCAUUUAUUCUUUAAAAAAUCCCCAAAA